rnacentral:pre_miRNA from 1 species
UCAGGUGUCACCUAGAGUUCUCUUGACCACUUCAUUGGGAAAUAGUCUUCUUUCGACUAUACAUUCUACUGAAGUGUUUGGGGGAACUCUAGGUGGCAUUUGA